rnacentral:rRNA from 1 species
CGCACUCACUUACGCUACUCUCCCCGAGACAUACUCAGACAAUACAUAAAAAAUCAUUCUCGGUAAAGGGGAGGCAAGUCGUAACAUGGUAAGUGUACCGG